GGCUUCUGGGUAGAAGCUCUCAGCGUAGGCUUCCCUGAGGCUCCUUUCCCUCUUUCUUGUUUUGCCUGGUGAUCCUCUAGAGAGGGGCUUCCUCCUCGGCCUGGGCCCAGAUGGAAUUGACGCUGGGGCGCAGAUUCUCCGCUGGACGUACAGGUCUGCCGCAAGUUCCGGGAUGAAGCCACGUGCAAGGACACCUGCCCGCCCCUCAUGCUCUACAACCCCACCACCUACCAAAUGGACGUCAACCCAGAGGGAAAAUACAGCUUUGGUGCCACCUGCGUGAAGAAAUGCCCCCGGUUGGAAAAGGAGCAAGAAGAGCAUGUACGAAGGCAGAAACAUGUGGAACAGUAGAACAGGCUGCAAGGUUUCCAGUAUUGACGAGCAAGGCUGUUGCAGGAGAUGGAGCUAGCAAGAGAGAAGAGGGUCAUGGCACCUGGGUGUGGUAGAGCCUUUGCUAAGGAGUCUGUACAUGUUCCAUGAGAACUGUCGGUGCAGGACAGUAAGAGAAACAUCGACCCUAAUUCUAAAAGAGAGGCCGAGUGACUCGCCCAACCUCACAGAGGAGCACCCUUGCUGCUUGUCCAAGGCAGGACCCCGGCAUUUGGCUUCCUGUCUGAUUCUCUCUCCUAACUGUGAAUUUGUGGAACUUUCCUUGGGAGCACAGGAGUCAUUUGUGAUGAUGAAAUUCACAUAUUGUUCCUUAAUGACCCAACAUGGUCUCACUGGGUGUUCGCUGCGCAACCACAGCUCCCUGGAGGCUACUGAACUCCUGCAUCUCUGUUUCAUUUGAACCAAAACACAGACAGACUCUCUCUACUGGGGAGCAAGAGGAAUGGCCAGUUGAUGCAGUUGCCUCUCCCUCAAUAUUCCAUGGUGUUGAAGCAGGUCUCCCUGGGGACACUCUGCUGUGCCCUGGUCUCCCUUCAUCUUGCAAGUGUGAUCUCCCUGAUGUAACUGAUGCGUAUCCUGAUUGGAGCUUUUGGAGGGAUCCCUCUGUCUUGCCUGGCGACUCCUGAGUCCAGACUGUGUAGCAGUUGGCAGAUAUGCUUCAGUUUGUCACAGAAAGUUUGGAAAUUUCUUUGAUUUAUAAAAUUGGUAGUUUUCCUUCUAUCUUUCAUCAUGUUUUGGUUGUUUUGGAGAAUUUCAGAAAGGAGAAUAAAGCAAAAUGCCCAGCAGGUAAUAUCUUUAAC
rnacentral:lncRNA from 12 species